GCCGGCGUGGCAGAGCUUGGUAAAUGCGCUAGCCUUGAGAGCUAGAGUGCCUUUGCGAAUGGCGUGCUUCGCACGUCUGUUGAGGACGCACAUGCAGGUUCAACUCCUGCCGCCGGCG
rnacentral:tRNA from 1 species